AACAGGUUAACGGGUUUUAACCUGUUUAGACACGAAACCUGUUAAGGUCAAACACGAAACAUGAUAACUUCGUGUAGGUUCGUCUCGUGUUAUCGUGUUCGUGUCAGAAUUGUCAGCCCUAAUCUUUACUACACUCCUUGAUAUCGUUAGGUUGGGCUAUGACGCAAGCCCUAAGCUACAAACGGCCGUUUAAAAGUUGGUUGGUUGGGGGGGGGGGGGGGGGGAAGCCUAACCUUCAAACAACCGUUCGAUCAGUUGAAAAUGGUGUGUGGUUAGAUUGUUAGUGGCGUGCGUUAAUUCCUUAAGUUUAUGAUUGUUUUAGUAAACCUAAUUCAAGAAGUUGAAAUGGCCAAAACAACUUACCUUUACCAAUUCGAGGGGAAGUAGAUCUUUAAGUAAAGCAUAAAGCUUAGCCAUAUCUUGCCUACGUUGUCGUUCGAUCCCUCGAUGAGCCAGUUUUCGCUGCGUGUGUUCAUCUUCAGUAGAUGCUGAAUUAGGUUUAGAUGAAGGUGACUGGUCUCCGUGCAGUUUCCUGGCUUUGAUGAUCGGAUCAUAUAUUAAAGAAGGAAUCUGAUGAAAUACCAACUCAUGAUCACUUUUUUCAAAAGAUAACAUUAUGUCGUACGUACGAUCGAUGCUAAGAAUUAUUGGUUUAAGCCCACCAGGAUUUGAUUAAUUUGAUCUGAUCAACAACUGUAUUUGGGGGAUAUAUACGUGUAUUAACUAUUAAAUACUUGUUAUAGAGAUACGCCUGGUUG
rnacentral:lncRNA from 1 species